CGGUAUGUCUUUCUUUUACUUUUGUUCUUCUUUUUAUACAAGCAAUAUUGUGGAGGGGAAAUCGAGCUCAGGACCUCGGGUGCAGGAUUGAAUGCUCUAAACUCAACUCGGUUACAAGCACCUUUCUUUUCACUUGUGUAUCUAAAAUUGUCGGUUAAAAACCUUGAACCAAGCAAGAAUACAAUCUAAUUUACUUUGCUUACUUUUUUCCCAUACGAAGCAAAAGAGGCGUUCUUGGAUUGGACAAGACGCCUUGAGAUAAUAUGUGGGAUUGCUAGAGGGAUUUUAUAUCUUCAUCAGGAUUCAAGAUUAAGAAUCAUCCAUAGAGAUCUAAAGGCCAGCAAUGUUUUGUUGGAUUCUGCUAUGAACCCCAAGAUUUCAGAUUUUGGUAUGGCUAGGAUAUUUGGAGCUGAACAAAUUGAAGCAAAUACAAACCGUGUGGUUGGGACAUAGUAAGUUUCAUUCAAGACUAAAAGUACACCUGUUUUUUACAAUUUUCAUCCCUAUUUCACAAGGCCACAAACGUGAGUACAACUUUUGUUGAAUACUACAGAAAGAAGCUGUGAUACUUAAUCAAUUUUAUUUUGUUGCUUCAGCGGUUAUAUGUCACCAGAGUACGCAAUGGAAGGAUUUUUUUCAGUAAAGUCUGACGUAUAUAGCUUUGGCGUUUUACUACUAGAAAUUGUUACUGGCAGAAAGAACACUAGCUACUACCACGAUAGUUCUUACUCAAAUUUAGUUGGACAUGUAAGCAUAACAUUAAGACGUACCAAACUUCUCUCCGUCUGCUUUUAUAACUUGAUGAUUAAUUUGUAAAUGGUUUUUAGGUUUGGGACUUAUGGAAGGAAAGUAGAGCCUUGGAAAUCAUUGAUUCAUCGCUGGGAGAAUCAUACCAUGUCAAUGAAGUUCUAAGGUGUAUUCACAUUGCCCUCUUGUGCGUGCAAGAGCAAGCGAAGGAUCGUCCACUCAUGUCAGCAGUGGUUUCCAUGUUGGGUAAUGAUGCAGCAAUUCCUUCACCAAAGCAACCUGGAUUUUUGUUGAAGAGUGGGGACCCAUCAGCCAAUACAAAAGGAGCUUCCUCUAUAAAUGACAUGACCCAUACAGAAGUAGAAGGUCGCUAAGGGGAGAACUAGACGAAUACUCGGAAAUACCAUCAUUGAAUUUAGAGUACGAUCACGUGAUAAGUGAGAUAAGAAUAGAUGAUAUACUCCGAUUUCACUCAAUAAUUUGCCUUUUAAUUAGGGAUCUAAGUUCUAUAUCUACAACACUCAUCAUCUCUCUUGUUGUAAAUACAUGCUAUAAAUUGUGUGCCUUAUAACUAGGGAUCUAAGUUCUAUAUUUGCAAUACUCAUCAUCUGUCUUGUUGUAAAUACAAAAUAUAAAUUAAUUGCAACACUCGUCAUCAGUUCGACGAGGCUACAUAAAAGUACUUUCUAACCGCCAUAGACAUUUAGGAGGGCUGAGAACUUUGUGGCUCAAGGUUUUAGAAGCAGGCAUACUCAGACACUAAUCAAGCCACGUGUCAACUAACAGUCAAGACUCAAAAACAAAAGUCUAGAGCGGGACAUGAAGCUGGUCUGGCCUGCUCGAAGUGACAUGACUAAUUAAUCAAGGCCUAGCGGGACGCUCGGCACACAUUGGACAUUUGGAUGUUAUGAUAAUUUAGUGUUAGAAAUGAUAAUUUAGAGCUUGAAUAUUGUUCACUAUCACAUGUGCUAGUAUAUGCUUCAAAAAAUUUUAGAGGCAAAAUAUUGUUAAAAAUUAUGAUGCUCUUAUUUGUACGGUGAUUUAUACAAAACACUGUAUUAAUGGUGAUAUUUACAUAAAACUAUAUCAUAGUGAUUAGCGAAUAGUGAUUUCUACAUAAAAUUAUAUUAAAAAUAUUUGAGAUGGUAGUCAAAUCUUAUGCAUAAACUCUGUUGUGAUAGUGCAAAAGUUUUUACAGAUUAGAAAUAGUCCAAAAUUGUUUGAGUGCGGUAUCGGGCUCGAAUUUUUUAACCUCACUCUUGCUCAUCUCCCAUAAGAAUCAAGUCAAGCUUACCCGCAAGCUCGAAAAAAUUAAAUAAGCCAAAUUUAAACAUAAUAGUAUUCAGUUCGGCUUGACUAGUUUGCAGUCCUACAUUUAUUUAAAACACCCCUCUGAAUUAUUACCCAAAGACGGGACCUUUUUGUAUCUUUAAGUUGAAAAGCUGAGUGAAUUAUGACUUUCUCCAAUAAAUCCAGAGAUGAUAAUUGGAUAGAUAAUUCCACUGACCAAUCAAUUAACUGUUGGAAAAUAUUAGUAUUUUGGUUUAUUUGAAUGUUUGGUUUUAUGGGUUUAGCCCGUUAGAAUUAGGUUUGUUAGAGAUUAGGGUUAAUUUAUUAUAAAUAGGGUGCUUUGUUAUUCAUUAGAGAACAAGUUAGCCACAAUGUAGUCUCUUAGGGUUUUGUAGCCGUUUCGGCAUUCUCGUUUGUUUAAUAAUAUUCUUAUUAUUUGUUAGUCUUGUUCGUUGCGCACUCUGAUAUUCAACUUGGUAUCAGAGCGGGUUCGAUCCUUAGGGUUCAACCCGUUCUCAUUGGUAUCAAUUUGUUUGCCUUUGUCGUCGUUCGUUUUAGAUUUGUUAGUUGGUAUUGAUUGUUUGCAAGGAAAAGAAAAAUGAAAGGAAAAAAAAAAGUUUUGCUUGCAGAGGAGAAGAUUCCCCAGCAAAUAAAAAAAUGGAACUUUAACGAAAAGCACCCGGUACUGUUCACUUUAACGAAAAACCACAUUUUUACACUAAAAAGUCAAUCCUGGUACUAUUCACUUUACCCUUUAUUUUGUCCUUAUCAUUAAAACUCAAAGUUUUCAAGCCCUUUUCAUUAGUUUUCCUAUAAAAAAAAGGGGACGAAGGAGAAAAGAAGAAAAAGAAGGAAAAAAAAGAGGAACCACGGAAAGGAAGAAGAAGGAAGAAAAAAAUGGGAAAAAAAAAGGAAGGAAAAAAAUAUGGUUGUUUUGUGGUCCGUGUAUUCUUGCAUUGGGCAUGGUAACUUGAACUUGGAAUGGAAAUUUGGCAUCGACAUUGGUAUCGGCAUCGGCAUUGGUAUUGGCAUCAGCAUCGGAAUCGGCAUUGGAAUCGGCAUUGGAAUCGGCAUCGGCAUCAGCAUUGGUAUUGGCAUCGGCAUCAGCAUUGGAAUUUGAAGGCUUGCAUCCACAUCUGCUUGUUGGCAAACUCAUGUCGUCUACCGCCAUGAGUUUGAUAGGGGGUGUUGGAAAAUAUUAGUAUUUUGGUUUAUUUGAAUGUUUGGUUUUAUGGGCUUAGCCCGUUAGAAUUAGGUUUUGUUAGAGAUUAGGGUUAGUUUAUUAUAAAUAGGGUGCUUUGUUAUUCAUUAGAGAACAAGUUAGCCACAAUGUAGUCCCUUAGGGUUUUGUAACCGUUUCGACAUUCUCGUUUGUUUAAUAAUAUUCUUAUUAUUUGUUAGUCUUGUUCGUUGCGCACUCUGAUAUUUAACUUUAACUUGGAUAGAGUUUGCACAAAAACACAAGAAGAUUAAAACCCUUAAUGCAAAUAUGUCACAAAAUACUAUAUACGUGACAAAUCCGAAUCGGUGUUUAGGGGCAUCUCUAAUGAGAAAAUACAAAAUUUGAGAGGAAAAAUCAUAUUUACGUUUCUGAUCGAUGUAAAUGAAGCUAUACUCCAAUGAGAAUGAUGAAAAUUUGAGAUCCCAUUUAAUUUUGUCUCCUUGAUUAGUGGGACUCACCACCAAAAGAUGUAAAAAAGAAUAUAAAUUUAAGUUUUUAUUUACAUCCUUCAACGAAGAUGAAUAAUUUAUAUUUCGCCAUUGGAUAAUUUUUCAGCAAAGAAAAAAAUAUAAAAUGUCCAUUUCAAAGUACUUUGAGAGAUGCCCUUGAGAAGAAAAGCUUACUUACCGUUAUAAUUGUUUAGUAAUCUGAAAUAAUUAUUUACCGCUAUGCAUUUUAGAAUCUAUUGUGUAAAUAAUUAUUCAAUGUUAUGUGCUAAAAUCCAGUUAUGUAAAGAUAUGUGAUUAACUCGAGAUAGAGUAGUUAUAACAUUCCAAAUUUCGAAUAAUCUGGUAGUUCUCGAAACAAAGAAAGAAUGAAGAAAAAAAACCUCUGAAAACAAAAUGUGAAAAGGUGUAAUAGUAAUUUCAUCACUGUAUUACAAUUGUUAUUUUUCUUUUUUGGGCGUAUUAAUGUGUUGUGAGUGUAUGAUUUGGUGGUGAAAGUCUCUGUCUGUCUCUGUCUGUCUCUGUCUGUCUCUCUCUCUCUCUCUCUCUCUCUCUUCGCUCGAAGUCUCAAAAACACACUCCACCAGUAGCACCCGAAAACCUCGUAAACCUUUUUCUUCCAUUUCAUUUCUUUACCGAGUGACACGAGCGAGCGAGUUGAGAAAUGGCGACUCGGUUCCCGGACGAUUUCAAGUGCCCAACUUCCCUCGAAAUAAUGUCGGACCCGGUUAUACUCUCCUCGGGUCACACCUUUGAUCGGGCCUCCAUCCAACGCUGGCUCGACGCCGGUCACACCCGGUUACAAAAGGGUUGAUUGCUAUUGCACUUGUUCAGUUCGUUCUUCUGAUCCGGUGCUGCGCUUCAAUCGAUAGUAUAACAACUGAUCAAGCGAUCAGGGAUGGCGAAGUUCUAUUCUCUAGUGGAGAAGUGUUUGAGCUUGGUUGAUCUUCAGCCCCAGAAAAUCUACGAACACUAUGUUGGAAUCUGGUAUAAGAAAGAUGUAGAAAAAAGAGUUGUAUGGGUUGAAAACAGAGACAAUCCUGUCAAUGACACUUCAGGAAUCCUCUCAACUGGUGCAAAUGGUAACCUCUUCCUCUAUGCCGAAAACCAAAGCGAUAUUCCCCUCUGGUCUGCCAUAUCCAAUGUUUCAAUCGCAUCAUUACCAUCCAAUUCCACACAUGAGCCUAAUUACAAAGCUCAGCUCUUAGAUACUGGAAAUAUUGUGGAGGGGAAAUCGAGCUCAAGACCUCAGGUGCAGGAUUGAAUGCUCUUAACUCAACUCAGUUACAAGCGCCAUUCUUUUCACUUAUGUAUCUAAAAUUGUCGGUUAAAAGCCUUGAACCAAGCAAGAAUACAAUCUAAUUUACUUUGCUUACUUUGCUAGUGGGAUCUUAUAUCUUCAUCAGGAUUCGAGAUUAAGAAUCGUCCAUAGAGAUCUAAAGGCCAUCAAUGUUCUGUUGGAUUCUGUCAUGAACCCUAAGAUUUUAGAUUUUGGUAUGGCUAGGAUAUUUGGAGCUGAACAAAUUGAAGCAAAUACAAACCUUGAGGUUGGGACAUAGUAAGUUUCCUUCAAAACUGAAAGUACACUUAUUUUUUACAAUUUUCAUCCCUAUGUCACAAGGCCACAAACGUGAGUACAACUUUUGUUGAAUAAUACAGAGAGAUGCUGUGAUAAUUAAUCACUUUUACUUUGUUGCUUCAGUGGUUAUAUGU
rnacentral:lncRNA from 1 species